GGUUGAUCCUGCCAGUAGUUAUAUGCUUGUCUCAAAGAUUAAGCCAUGCAUGUCUAAGUACAAACUAUAUCUUAUAGUGAAACCGCAAAAGGCUCAGUACAACAGCUAUUAUUUAUUUGAUUAUAAAAACAGUUACUUGGAUAACUGUGGUAAUUCCAGAGCUAAUACAUGCAAACAACAUGUCACACGGUGCUUGCAUUGUGAGACAUGUGCUUUUAUUAGAUUAAAACCAUAUCGACUUUCGGGUUGAUUACCUUUAGAUGAAUCUGGAUAAUUUUGGCUGAUCGUAUGGU
rnacentral:rRNA from 1 species